rnacentral:rRNA from 1 species
AAUGAACGCUGGCGGCAGGCCUAACACAUGCAAGUCGAACGCACCGCAAGGUGAGUGGCAGACGGGUGAGUAACGCGUGGGAACCUUCCCUUUGGUUCAGGAUAGCCCCGGGAGACUGGGAUUAAUACUGGAUAAGAUCUACGGAUGAAAGAUUUAUCGCCGAAGGAUGGGCCCGCGUAAGAUUAGCUAGUUGGUGAGGUAAUGGCUCACCAAGGCUUUUAUCUUUAGCUGGUCUGAGAGGAUGAUCAGCCACACUGGAACUGAGACACGGUCCAGACUCCUACGGGAGGCAGCAGUGAGGAAUAUUGGACAAUGGGCGCAAGCCUGAUCCAGCCAUGCCGCGUGAGUGAUGAAGGCCUUAGGGUUGUAAAACUCUUUUAGUGGGGAAAAUAAUGAUGGUACCCACAGAAAAAGCUCCGGCUAACUUCGUGCCAGCCGCCGCGGUAA